rnacentral:rRNA from 1 species
AAACGACUCUCGGCAACGGAUAUCUCGGCUCUCGCAUCGAUGAAGAACGUAGCGAAAUGCGAUACUUGGUGUGAAUUGCAGAAUCCCGUGAACCAUCGAGUUUUUGAACGCAAGUUGCGCCCGAAGCYUCCGGCURAGGGCACGUCUGCCUGGGCG